rnacentral:piRNA from 1 species
UCACAAGAAACAUUGUUGGAAAUGCAGAG